UACGUAGGGUGCAAGCGUUAAUCGGAAUUACUGGGCGUAAAGCGUGCGCAGGCGGCUUUGCAAGACAGAUGUGAAAUCCCCGGGCUUAACCUGGGAACUGCAUUUGUGACUGCAUGGCUGGAGUGCGGCAGAGGGGGAUGGAAUUCCGCGUGUAGCAGUGAAAUGCGUAGAUAUGCGGAGGAACACCGAUGGCGAAGGCGGCAUCCUGGACCAACACUGACGCUGAGGAGCGAAAGCCAGGGGAGCAAACGGG
rnacentral:rRNA from 1 species